rnacentral:rRNA from 1 species
CCUACGGGUCGCAGCAGUGGGGAAUAUUGGACAAUGGGCGAAAGCCUGAUCCAGCCAUGCCGCGUGUGUGAAGAAGGCCUUCGGGUUGUAAAGCACUUUCAGUGGGGAAGAAAGCCUUGGGGCUAAUACCCUCGAGGAAGGACAUCACCCACAGAAGAAGCACCGGCUAACUCCGUGCCAGCAGCCGCGGUAAUACGGAGGGUGCGAGCGUUAAUCGGAAUUACUGGGCGUAAAGCGCGCGUAGGCGGUCUGAUAAGCCGGUUGUGAAAGCCCCGGGCUCAACCUGGGAACGGCAUCCGGAACUGUCAGGCUAGAGUGCAGGAGAGGAAGGUAGAAUUCCCGGUGUAGCGGUGAAAUGCGUAGAGAUCGGGAGGAAUACCAGUGGCGAAGGCGGCCUUCUGGACUGACACUGACGCUGAUGUGCGAAAGCGUGGGUAGCAAACAGGAUUAGAUACCCGAGUAGUC